CACUAUCAACAACAUAUGCCGUAUUGUUUCCAAAAGUAACUUUAGUUCUUUAGAGUUUUUCAGAAUCCACAUAUAGUUAAUGCCACUACGCGAGUAUACAGUUUCACUUUAUUUCUGAAGGCACUCUUUACCUGCAGACAGAAUUUUUGUCAAUCUAAUAGACAAUUCUUUAGUCGAACAUGCAGAUGAGCCGGCAAUAUACCGUUGUUUGUACGGAAUUUUGUGAAGCUUUGGUAUUAAAUACAAACAAGGUAAGUCUUCCGAUUUGUUGUUCAAUGUAAUGUUCAUUGAAGCCAUGAAGAACGUUUAGAUCGCCAAAAUCUCACCAAUAUCCAAUGAUAUGUUUUUGUUUGUGGAAUUACAUGAGUGCUCAUUUAUUCCUCAUUCUUUUUACAAAAGAGGAAUGAAAGAUAACAGACACAAGACUCUCGUA
rnacentral:lncRNA from 1 species